GUAUUGGGUUGGCCAAAAAGUUCGUUUAGGUUUUUCUAUAAGAUCCGCUGGAAAAACCUGAACAGACUUUUUGGCCAACCCAAUAUUA
rnacentral:miRNA from 1 species